rnacentral:rRNA from 1 species
ACGGAGGGGGCGAGCGUUAUUCGGAAUUACUGGGUGUAAAGGGUAUGCAGGCGGCCCUUCAAGUCGCGUGUGAAAGUCCAGUGCUCAACGCUGGGAGUGCACUUGAUACUGCUUGACUUGAGUGCUGGAGAGGUGAGCGGAAUUCCCGGUGUAGUGGUGAAAUGCGUAGAGAUCGGGAGGAACACCAGUGGCGCAGGCGGCAUACUAGACAGUUACUGACGCUGAGAUACGAAAGCGUGGGGAUCAAACAG